GCUCUGGUGGUGUAGCGGCCUAGCAUACAAUACUAAUGUGCAAAGCCCUGUCACGGCUGCGACGCGGGUUCAAAUCCCGCCCAGGGCG
rnacentral:tRNA from 1 species